AUCAUACUAGGCAUGUACAGCUUUGUGCUGUGAUAAAAAGAAAAGAAAAAAAAAUGCAAUUCAGAUUUGCAAGAUAUUCCAAAAUCGCAAGAAGUGCCUGCCCUGUACUAUAACUUACUGCUACUGUGCAGUAAAGUCAAGUGGCUAAAAACAAUCAUGACGUAAGAUGCUGAAAAACAAUAAGAUGCACAUAAACAAAUAAUGAUAGACAUUGCAGAUGGAAUGCAAACGGCUCCAACGUCUACCACGGAUAAACUUGACUGCUGUACAUAUACAUCAUGUAGUUAACAGUGAUUAAUUUGGCUAAUUAAAUAACAUAUAAAUAAUUCAAUUAAAAUUUCAAAUCCUAAAUAUUCACCACCAGCCACAUAUUUCUGUUUUCUGUUAAGUAUUUAUGUUUUAAGCAAAUUUCAGAUUAGCACACACAAAUAACAUUUAGAUAUAUCUUUCCAGAAGUAGUAGGAACUCCUGAGGUAAAGCUCUGUUUCUAUUUCAAACAGUUUCUCCAGCUGUGUAUGAAAUAGAGAGGCUGAAAGCACUGCUGCAGGCAGAGAGAAGCAAAAAUGAGUUAAUGGGUGAAACCAUCAGCGGCCUGAAGCAAGACAAAGAACUUCUGCAACAGGAACUCACCAAGAAGGCGGAGCUCAUCUGUGACUUCCUGCAAGACCAGCUACGGCCAGGUGACUAUUCCUUACAGUCCCAUCAUACACGCCAUUUCUGGAUAAUAAAUAGUUUGUAUGAUAUGAAGGAAAGCAUGGAGAUCAGAAUGCAGGUUGUAAUUUGGAUAAGGAUUGUCUUGUUUUGUCUGGUAGAUAAAAGAAGGACACUUUCAUCAAGUCAAAUGGAGGCAGGAAGCUCACAUCAGAUUAUCACCUCCCUUCCUGAAGAGGGCGCUGUGUUUGACUCACCAGCCCUCUUCGACUCUUUUGAGGAAGUGGAGUUGCAUCCACUGGACAGGCAGAGGACCAUCAAGAUUUCGUCAAAGAGAAGCAGAGAUGGCGAGAACACACGUGUCCGAAUGAAAAACGUUGUGGGUGUUAUUGCACGAUAUAUGGCGGCACUGCAAGAGUUUCGACGUAGCAUAUCCAUGAAAGUGGCUUUUGAUCGAGUUGGUGUUGACCGCAAUACCAUUUCGAGAACAGCAGCCAUUGCAGAACUGAGCUUGGCGGCUCCUGAAGUCUUCCACGCUCUGCCUCCAUGGGACGAGAAGGAGGAAACAUUGGCCCACUAUGCAGUCAGAUGCCGACAGGCCAUGGACGACAGCAUCAAAGCCAAGAUUAAAAGCAUGAAGGCAAAGCGGGAGCUUCUACCAAUCGUCAGCAAAUAAAACAUUUACCAGAUCUGAUUUACAGUGGACAUGUGACCAAUCUAAAAGAACACUUGUAUUUCUCGUCACAUUUCAGGCCUUUAUCUCUUUUGUCCUCAGCCAUUAUCCAUCACAAAGAGAGUGAUGUAUGGCAGCACAUUUGUUGGAAACUUUCAAUCAUUUGUUGUGUUGUUCUUGGCCAAUUUGGCUUUUAAAUAAAAUCAAAUAAUUGUUUUGUAUGCCUUGAAUCAGUAUCAUUUUGUUUGACCAGUAUUUACUUCAGUGUUAAAUAUUAGGUAAAUAUGUAAUACUGGUAUUAAUAACUGUACGACUGCAUGCUCACUACCAUCACAAACUACAGUGUAUGUUUGUACGUUUUGACAUGACACCUCUUCCUCUCUGAAUACCAGAUUAGUGUUAUGUAACAAGAUUGCCAUGGUGCAGACUGUAAAAAUAAGUGCGUAAUGAUGUUACACUACAUUGUAUGAACCAGUGGGUUCAAUGACUGUUACUGUGAGUAAUAAAUAGAAUAUCACAAUAUCAAACCAUUUUGAUGCUUGUGUAUUUUGUAGGAAAAAUUAUUUUCCCAUUAUGUUGACAAUUAAUAACUCAGUCCGCAAUACAACCAAUACAGAAUCAGAGAUUAGAAAUCUUUACCUAGUCACUGUUUGCUGCAACAGUGGACCUUAGUCAGGAUAGCCCCCUUAUAUUUAAUAUGGUGCAAAUAAAAACGCAGCUGGAGAGAGAGUGAAGUACAGUCUGUUCAAUGGAUUGUGCCUUGAAAAUCUUGUUGUACCUUCAAAACAUUUUCUUUCCAAAAAUGUCCUGUGGACAAAAAGCUCUUGAAAACAUGCUUAUAUUAGACCAGUGGUUCCCAACCUUGGUCUUGGAGUGCCCCAAACAGUACACAAUUUAGAUGUAUCUCUCUAUGUAUCUGACACAC
ensembl:lncRNA coiled-coil domain-containing protein 106-like